rnacentral:rRNA from 1 species
AUUGAACGCUGGCGGCAGGCCUAACACAUGCAAGUCGAGCGAGCGGCGGACGGGUGAGUAAUGUAUGGGAAACUGCCUGAUGGAGGGGGAUAACUACUGGAAACGGUAGCUAAUACCGCAUACCAUCAGAUGUGCCCAGAUGGGAUUAGCUAGUAGGGGGGGUAACGGCUCACCUAGGCGACGAUCCCUAGCUGGGCUGAGAGGAUGACCAGCCACACUGGAACAGAGGCACGGGCCAGACUCCUACGGGAGGCAGCAGUGGGGAAUAGUGCACAAUUGGCGCAAGCCUGAUGCAGCCAUGCCGCGUGUGUGAAGAAGGCCUUCGGGUUGUAAAGCACUUUCAGCGGGGCGGCGUUACCCGCAGAAGAAGCACCGGCUAACUCCGUGCCAGCAGCCGCGGUAAUUC